rnacentral:rRNA from 1 species
UACGGAGGGGGCGAGCGUUGUCCGAAGUUACUGGGCGUAAAGCGCGCGUAGGCGGGUUGGUAAGUCCGCUGUGAAAGCCCGGAGCUUAACUCCGGAGGGUCGGUGGAUACUGCCAGUCUUGAAGGUGCUAGGGGGAGAUGGAAUUACCGGUGUAGCGGUGAAAUGCGUAGAUAUCGGUAGGAACACCAGUGGCGAAGGCGGUCUCCUGGGGCAUUCUUGACGCUGAGGAGCGAAAGUGUGGGGAGCGAACAGG